rnacentral:rRNA from 1 species
AGUACGAGAGGACCGGGAUGGACGUGUCACUGGUGCACCAGUUGUUCUGCCAAGAGCAUCGCUGGGUAGCUACACACGGAUGUGAUAACUGCUGAAAGCAUCUAAGCAGGAAGCCAACUCCAAGAUAAACUUUCCCUGAAGCUCGCACAAAGACUAUGUGCUUGAUAGGGUAGAUGUGUGAGCGCAGUAAUGCGUUUAGCUGACUACUACUAAUAGAGCGUUUGGCUUGUUUUU